AAAUGCACUUCACGACAACUCUACUUUCCAACAUUUUAACAGAAAACUCCACCCCUACCUCACGUCGAGGAGGUGUACAAACAGCGAUGCCACAGUUCUACACGUGACCCAGUGCUCAUGACGAAGAGUGGAACAAGAAACCCACCAACG